GACUUGUGGCUGGGGGUGAAAGGCCAAUCAAACCGGGAGAUAGCUGGUUCUCCCCGAAAGCUAUUUAGGUAGCGCCUCGUGAAUUCAUCUUCGGGGUAGAGCACUGUUUCGGCUAGGGGUCAUCCCGACUUACCAACCCGAUGCAACUACGAAUACCGAAGAAUGUUAUCACGGGAGACACACGGCGGGUGCUAACGUCCGUCGUGAAGAGGGAAACAACCCAGACCGCCAGCUAAGGUCCCAAAGUCAUGGUUAAGUGGGAAACGAUGUGGGAAGGCACAGACAGCCAGGAUGUUGGCUUAGAAGCAGCCAUCAUUUAAAGAAAGCGUAAUAGCUCACUGGUCGAGUCGGCCUGCGCGGAAGAUGUAACGGGGCUAAACCAUGCACCGAAGCUGCGGCAGCGACACUAUGUGUUGUUGGGUAGGGGAGCGUUCUGUAAG
rnacentral:rRNA from 1 species